UUAUGGCCAUAUCAAGUUGAAACACCAGUUCUCAUAUGAACAUUGAAGUUAAGUAACAUUGAGCCUGAUCACUACCUAAAUGGGUGACCACUUGGAAACACUAGGUGCUGUAA